rnacentral:lncRNA from 1 species
UCAAAGGUAUCUGCUUCAAAUGAGGCUGUUUCUAGAAGUGUGAAGUCGGUGUUCAAAGCUCGGGUGCAGCGGCUUAACUCUUUAGAGGUACUCCAUGAUUUGCUGAGUUUUGGUUAUUGAUAUGUUUUUCCAUGAAUUGAAGAUAUGAGUUCAUGUGUAAGAGGUGAAAUAUGUAUGACUCUUUUGUUCUGAAUUUUCAGUUUUGGGAUUUCCAAGCUCCAUUGAAGAAGUCAGUUGGGCCUCCGAGAAGAUCACCUCUAGAUGGUAAAUUUGAUUGUCAACUUCACCUUUUAUCUACCUUUAUUUUUCUUCUUCUUUUCCUUGAUAUGCAUCCAUUAGUGCACUAACCUUUUUGUUGUUGCUUGAUGGAAAUAAGUUCUGUAUGUGUGGUUCUUUACAAUUGUGCACGUAAUUACAAAAAGUUAUCCCAUAUAAUGAAGUAGAUUUGUUCAGUUAUAUGAGUGAAGUAGAAGUGCUGAAAUUCUUGGCAUUGGUGAUUAUUUGAAAGUUAUUUCUCUUUCUGCCUCUCUUUCUCUUUUUUUUUUUCGGCAGCUUCUUUUCAAUCUUCAAUGCUGCCAGAUUCGUGCUUCAAUGUCUGUAGCUUCUUUUCUACAAGCUUCUUGCUUCCAAUUUUACAUCUUUUCAUUUCUGCAUAAGGUUGCUUCCAUUUUUGCAUUUUUUGCUUUGUCUUUCUUCAUCUAUUCUUUAUGCUUUGCAUCCUUGACAGCUUCUUAAACCUCUUUUUUAUUUUUUUAUAUCUUUAGCUAUUAUUUUCUUCCUUUUUAUGUGUUUCUUUCUGUUUUACUAUAUCUUUAGUUAUAUAUAUAUAUAUAUAUAUAUAUAUAUAUAUAUAUAUAUGUGUGUGUGUGUGUGUGGCCCUUCAAAGCAAAAAACUAAGCAAAACGUUAUUAUAAUCUCAUACAGCAAAAGUAUCAUGUGCAGAGAAUUUGUGGGCUCAAGGUAAGAGCAUUUGUGGGGCUCAGAAUAUUACAGAAAACCUCCAAAAGUGAGAUUUGGGCUCCAAAUUGUCGAACCAAAACUUGAAUACAAAAUUUAGAGUUCUAUUUAAAUGUAGUUCAGGCCUCAGGCCUCACUUUAUUAUUUAAUGCAUGCUUUCUUAUUUAUUGUUUAUUGCUUUGUUGAAUCUGCAAUGCUUUAGUUUUCAUAUAUAUUUUUGUUAGUUCUUUCUUUCUCCUUGACUAUUUUAAUUUGAUUUGUUGAACCUAUAACUAUUACAUAUAUAGUGUUUAGAAAGUUCAUGUUUAUGAGGUUGCUGUCUGUUGUUUGUCUUGAUCAAUUUGACACCGAUUUUACUCAUUAAAUUCUUCAAUUUUCUCUGCUUCAUUUUUAUUUUGAUUUGCUCUAUGAUUCAGGGCUCGGUAACGGGAGGUCCUUCAGCCGGCUGUUAACGAUGGUGGGGAGGGCUGACCUGUAGUGGCGGUUGUAGCAUUAUCGUGUUCCAGCAGGAUCGCGGAUGGCAAAAGGUACAAGUCUUGAAGAGUUUGAACAAUGUUGUUAAUAAGAGACAUUAUAGCAGUUAGGGUUUUAGGAGGCGCAGCCUGCCAAUACUUCUUUUAUAACCUUUUUGGCUUAAUAUUUCUUGAUAAUUUUUGGGGUUUUCUUGAUUGAGGGAAUUGUGCUUUAUUUUUUGUAAGGAAUCUUUAGCUAAUUUGUUUCAUCACUCAGAAAAUGGUUUCAUGUUACAGCCUAAUACAUUGAAAAUUUGUUGAUUCUCUCUCCUAGAAUUGUUUCGACUUGAUAAGUUACUAUAUUUUUGUGAUGAUUUUCGCCCCGUCUGCUUGAUUGUUGCCUCAUCUGGAAUUUCGUUGUUAUAGCCUAAUGAAUCUUUAGCUAAUUCUUUCUCCCCGUGUGCUUGAUUUUUGCCUCAUCUGGGAAUUUUCAUUUAAAUUCACCUGAAUUUUACUUCAUUAUAUUCUUAAAUUUUGUCUGCUACAUUUUUAUUGUGAUUUGCUCUGUGAUUAAGGAAUCAUACUUGGAUAGUUUAAAAUGCAGCUUAAAUGUGGCAUCAAUAGUUGAGCUGAGUCAUGGUGGUGCUGAGUUUAUAGGUGGAAUAUGGCGUCCAUGUCUUAGAUACUUAAUGUGGUAUAUACUUUCCACUUUUUGCCUUACUAAUGAUUGAAUAUUGGAUCCUUACUUGCUAUUCACCACUACCUAAGUAGAUCUUUUUGAUUGAUUUAUUAGUUUCAGACCAAUACCAUUUCAUGUUAGUGAAGUGUGAACAGCCCUGCUCCUGAGCUAUGCUUUGUAAUUGAUUAGGAAGAUCAAUAAGCCACUUUUCAUUUUUUCUUAUGGGGAUGCACGUGUCUUGCAACAUGAUAGGGUUGAGAUCUUAAUGGUGGAAUUGAACUACAAUGCUUUCUGAUAUUUUUUCUAUUGUAUACAGUGGUGGAAUGAAUGGCUAUAUCUCCCUUUGUGUUGGGAAUCCUUGCCGUCAUGUCUUCAAAUCAUCGAAUGGAAGACAACAUGAACAAUCAAG